GAAAACAAAGGCAAAGAGAUGACAAUGUUUCAUCGGCAAAGAUGGCUCUCCAGCUUGAUCAUGUUCUUGCUGUCGUCAUUCAUGCUAAAAUCCGAUGGAUCAAACCGUAUAGUUGGCGACAGCUCUGGUUGGGAACUUUACACAAACUAUACCAACUGGACACAGGGAAGAGAGUUUCAUGUCGGCGAUGUCUUAGUUCUCAACUACAAUAGAGACCAGCAUAAUGUUAUGCAAGUUAAUUCUACAGCCUACGUAGACUGUGGAAGAGACAAUUACAUAUCUCUCUUCAACAAAGGCAAUGACUCGAUAGUUAUAUCAGAGGUUGGUGAGCACUGGUUCAUCUGUGCAGUAGACGGCCACUGUGAGAAUGGUCAGAAGCUAUUAAUCAAAAUUUUAGUAGCUUGUUGUUAUAGUACUAAAGUAAUGUAACUAAACUUGAAUUAAUAUCAUCUGAAUAAUAUAUACAGGGUACUCUCAUUAACUCUUGAUAUACUAAUAACCUAUACAGCAUACUUUGCAACUCUUUCACCCAAAUAAAGAGAAGAGACAUGAAUUGUAGCAUUCUUGCAGAGACAGAGACAAGACAAUUAACACACUAAAACCAAACAAGUCUGGAGCAACCAUAACUGAACAUACUAAACUCUUCACUAUUCAUCAUUAAACAUAUACAAAAAGAAACU